GCUUGAAUCUCAUACUGGAUUAAAACAAUAACACGGGUUAUCAAAUUUCCACACGAUUUGUCGACGCAGCACUGAGAUUGAGCGGCGUCCUGUUAGGACCUUAUUCCUAAAGGUUUCGAAAUAUUCGUUUUAGUACAAUUAUGAGAUUACAUCAAAUAUCCAACCAGUACAGACUACGAACACGUAAAAGGCCGGUGAAGAAUCCAAUCAUCCAUCUAAGGCCGGUGAAGAACCCUUCCGGCCAAGAGCGCCGCCUCGAUGACGAGCUCAAUCACGUCCAUCACCUCCUCCACCAUGCACUUGUUGCCCUUGAAGGUUGGCGACCCGGACUCCCUCACGGCCUCCAUACAGUCCAGAAAUUUGCUGUUGCACUCCUGGCUCAAAUACUCAUUGUGGUGAGCCUGAAUGCAGGCGUCGUGGUUCUCGCAGCAGGCGUCGAGGCCGUCGCAGGGCUUCUCGCCGGGGCAGCCGCUGUAGAGGAUGCCGCAGUAUUUACCGUAUCGAAGGAACGGUGGAACAUUACAGUACUCAGAUUCACACUUCCUGCUACACUCCUGCGCCUUAUUCGCGUAGACGCCGGAGUUGGUGUGUUGGACGCCGAUGUUCAGCGCCCCCGCCGGAAUGGCGGCCAGAAGGCUGAAGAUGAUCGCCAUACAUGGCAUCUCUCCACCUCCU
rnacentral:misc_RNA from 1 species